rnacentral:rRNA from 1 species
AAAUUGAAGAGUUUGAUCAUGGCUCAGAUUGAACGCUGGCGGCAGGCCUAACACAUGCAAGUCGAACGGUAACAGGAAGAAGCUUGCUUCUUUGCUGACGAGUGGCGGACGGGUGAGUAAUGUCUGGGAAACUGCCUGAUGGAGGGGGAUAACUACUGGAAACGGUAGCUAAUACCGCAUAACGUCGCAAGACCAAAGAGGGGGACCUUCGGGCCUCUUGCCAUCGGAUGUGCCCAGAUGGGAUUAGCUAGUAGGUGGGGUAACGGCUCACCUAGGCGACGAUCCCUAGCUGGUCUGAGAGGAUGACCAGCCACACUGGAACUGAGACACGGUCCAGACUCCUACGGGAGGCAGCAGUGGGGAAUAUUGCACAAUGGGCGCAAGCCUGAUGCAGCCAUGCCGCGUGUAUGAAGAAGGCCUUCGGGUUGUAAAGUACUUUCAGCGGGGAGGAAGGGAGUAAAGUUAAUACCUUUGCUCAUUGACGUUACCCGCAGAAGAAGCACCGGCUAACUCCGUGCCAGCAGCCGCGGUAAUACGGAGGGUGCAAGCGUUAAUCGGAAUUACUGGGCGUAAAGCGCACGCAGGCGGUUUGUUAAGUCAGAUGUGAAAUCCCCGGGCUCAACCUGGGAACUGCAUCUGAUACUGGCAAGCUUGAGUCUCGUAGAGGGGGGUAGAAUUCCAGGUGUAGCGGUGAAAUGCGUAGAGAUCUGGAGGAAUACCGGUGGCGAAGGCGGCCCCCUGGACGAAGACUGACGCUCAGGUGCGAAAGCGUGGGGAGCAAACAGGAUUAGAUACCCUGGUAGUCCACGCCGUAAACGAUGUCGACUUGGAGGUUGUGCCCUUGAGGCGUGGCUUCCGGAGCUAACGCGUUAAGUCGACCGCCUGGGGAGUACAGCCGCAAGGUUAAAACUCAAAUGAAUUGACGGGGGCCCGCACAAGCGGUGGAGCAUGUGGUUUAAUUCGAUGCAACGCGAAGAACCUUACCUGGUCUUGACAUCCACGGAAGUUUUCAGAGAUGAGAAUGUGCCUUCGGGAACCGUGAGACAGGUGCUGCAUGGCUGUCGUCAGCUCGUGUUGUGAAAUGUUGGGUUAAGUCCCGCAACGAGCGCAACCCUUAUCCUUUGUUGCCAGCGGUCCGGCCGGGAACUCAAAGGAGACUGCCAGUGAUAAACUGGAGGAAGGUGGGGAUGACGUCAAGUCAUCAUGGCCCUUACGACCAGGGCUACACACGUGCUACAAUGGCGCAUACAAAGAGAAGCGACCUCGCGAGAGCAAGCGGACCUCAUAAAGUGCGUCGUAGUCCGGAUUGGAGUCUGCAACUCGACUCCAUGAAGUCGGAAUCGCUAGUAAUCGUGGAUCAGAAUGCCACGGUGAAUACGUUCCCGGGCCUUGUACACACCGCCCGUCACACCAUGGGAGUGGGUUGCAAAAGAAGUAGGUAGCUUAACCUUCGGGAGGGCGCUUACCACUUUGUGAUUCAUGACUGGGGUGAAGUCGUAACAAGGUAACCGUAGGGGAACCUGCGGUUGGAUCACCUCCUUACCUUAAAGAAGC